GCGGCAAUAGCUCAGUUGGUAGAGUGCAACCCUCCCAAGGUUGAGGUCGCGGGUUCGAGUCUCGUUUGCCGCU
rnacentral:tRNA from 1 species